rnacentral:rRNA from 1 species
GACGAACGCUGGCGGCGUGCCUAAUACAUGCAAGUCGAACGCAGUGGGGACGGGUGAGUGACACGUGGGUAACCUCCCAUCAGAGGAGAUAACACUUGGCAAAAGGUGCUAAGCCGAUACUGAUGGAUGUACCCGCGGGGCAUUAGCUAGUUGGUGAGGUAACGGCUCACCAAGGCCACGAGGCAUAGCCGACUUGAGAGGGUGAUCGGCCACACUGGGACUGAGACACGGCCCAGACUCCUACGGGAGGCAGCAGUAGGGAAUUUUGGGCAAUGGACGAAAGCCUGACCGAGCAAUGCCGCGUGAGUGAAGAAGGUGUUCGGAUCGUAAAACUCUGUUGUUAGAGAAGCGGUAUCUAACCAGAAAGCCACGGCUAACUACGUGCCAGCAGCCGCGGUAAUAC